AUAAAAUUUUUCAAAAGAAAAAAAUCUGUUCUUAUCAGUUUAAUAUCUGAUACGUCCCCUACCCGGGGACUACAUAUUAAAUUGAUUUUUGGAUCACGGAGCUGGAGCCGGGGCUUGCUCUGUCCACUCCACGCAUCGGCCUGGUAUUGCAGUGUUUCCAGGAACGGUGUGCUUCCC
rnacentral:snRNA from 1 species